rnacentral:lncRNA from 1 species
UUCACAAAAGGAUACCACUUUAGUAAACAAUAUAUCCCAACCAUUUUCUCUCAAACCUUGAAUAAGAUGUUUUGUUGAACGAACCAAGUUCAUAGCGUUAACUACAUCUUGAUUUUUUUUUGUAAGGCUUGACAAAGCAUAUAUGUUAUUCCCAUGAUUUCUUUCAUCAAGUGCAAAAUAAAUAUAAAAUCAAAUACCUUCAAGUAAUUGUAACAACUAUCUGCAUCCACACGUGUAGC